rnacentral:rRNA from 1 species
GAUGAACGCUGGCGGCGUGCCUAAUACAUGCCAGUCGAGCGAACAGACGAGGAGCUUGCUCCUCUGACGUUAGCGGCGGACGGGUGAGUAACACGUGGAUAACCUACCUAUAAGACUGGGAUAACUUCGGGAAACCGGAGCUAAUACCGGAUAAUAUAUUGAACCGCAUGGUUCAAUAGUGAAAGACGGUUUCGCUGUCACUUAUAGAUGGAUCCGCGCCGCAUUAGCUAGUUGGUAAGGUAACGGCUUACCAAGGCAACGAUGCGUAGCCGACCUGAGAGGGUGAUCGGCCACACUGGAACUGAGACACGGUCCAGACUCCUACGGGAGGCAGCAGUAGGGAAUCUUCCGCAAUGGGCGAAAGCCUGACGGAGCAACGCCGCGUGAGUGAUGAAGGUCUUCGGAUCGUAAAACUCUGUUAUUAGGGAAGAACAAAUGUGUAAGUAACUAUGCACGUCUUGACGGUACCUAAUCAGAAAGCCACGGCUAACUACGUG